GACAGGUGAGAAGACCUAAUGGUAUACACUGAAGAUAAUGAGGACCACAUGAGCAGACUUCUGAGUUAUACAAGAACAGUGAAUGCAGAGGUGACUACCCCAGCAACAAAACUGCUGAAUUAUGGCCCCCAGCAACAACAAAGAAAAAAAGCAGGAAGAUGUCAAUAUCGGAAAGAGCAGAUCUCCUCAACCAAACAAGAAUCCACAAGCAAAGAACUGCAGGUGCAGGAUAUCUGAAAACUGGUGCUGCCUGAAUGGAAUCUGUACAUUCUCCCUGUGACCACGUGGGUUUUCUCUGGGUGCUCCGGUUUCCUCCCACUUUCC